GCCCAGGCAGCAGCCCUGACGACGGCGACCGGCUCCCAGCCGAGGCUUCAGCUCCCAGCAACGGCAGAAGAGGCCGAGCCUUACUCAGGCCACGUCUUCACCCGGAGCUUAGGGGCUUCCCAGUCUGCAGGGAGAAGAGGCGUGGAUUCUCCAAGGGGUUUGUGACCCCCAAAGCUCCCGUUACGGAGGGAGGUACACUUGCACCCAUCUGCCUGUACAGGAGAGCUGAAGAUGCCGUCCAGGCGCCUCGGGGUCCCCAGCCUCCGCUCGCUGCCCUAGCCCCUCCGGCACGCGCCGGGGGCCUCUCCACAUCCAGCAGAUGAAGCUAACGUCUGCCAGGUCAGAGGCCUCCAGCAGUUGUCGAAUAACUUGGCCGUGAGCUCUGCCUGUAGGUCUUAGGAGUGGAACCAGCCUCCCCAGCGAAGCCUUGGUGCACACUCAUGGAUCCAACCAAAGGUGGGUUCGCACAAUCCUGAAGUAAGGGCAGGAGUGAAGCCCCUUCCUCAUCCAUAAGCCUGAGGAUGGGCAAGACGCCGAAACGCUGAAACGACUUUUGUGUGAAGAAGAAAAAGAGCCCAAGGCAAACCUGAGAAUGUGAAGAAGGUUCUGGAAGAAACUGAGGAGAGCACCAUCCCAUCCCCAGCCUUGCCUGGAGUCUGAGAACUUCACCUUGUGAGAGAGCAGAAUCAGUGAAUGAAAUAAAUCCUCAGCAUCCUUUCUACCUGUGAUUUCCUCUGACUAGCCAGAUGGUAUACAGGAAUUCUUUCGGCUGAACCAGAGUAGGCUUUUCUCACACCUAAGACGCCUCCUGCUCUAAAGAGAAAGAUCUGAGAGAAGGGCCUUCCCCGGACCACACGGCUCCCAGGGACCAGAGCUGAGACCAGAACCCAUGUGUCCUGGCUCCGAGGCCUUCACCUGCUGGACACCUGGGACACGGAUGGUUCUGAACCUUCACUCGAUCAGUUUAAGUCGCCUCCAGAAUCGAUGUAAAGGCAAUUAAUGUCUCUAGAACAACCAAGACAGUGCCCUUGAGAAAAUUCUCUCUUCCCCACGAGCUCAUGCCUCUGGACAAGCAGAUAAAAGCUGCUCAGCACAUACUUACUGAGCAUCUUAAGAUAAGGACUCAAAUAAGCAAAGU